ACCCUUCGGGGUUAGUGGCGGACGGGUGAGUAACGCGUGAGAAUCUGCCUUCAGGUCGGGGACAACAGAAGGAAACUUCUGCUAAUCCCGGAUGAGCCUUUUGGUAAAAGAUAAAUUGCCUGGAGAUGAGCUCGCGUCUGAUUAGCUAGUUGGUGUGGUAAAAGCAUACCAAGGCAACGAUCAGUAGCUGGUCUGAGAGGAUGAGCAGCCACACUGGGACUGAGACACGGCCCAGACUCCUACGGGAGGCAGCAGUGGGGAAUUUUCCGCAAUGGGCGAAAGCCUGACGGAGCAAGACCGCGUGGGGGAGGAAGGCUCUAGGGUUGUAAACCCCUUUUCUUUGGGAAGAAGAAAAUGACGGUACCAAAGGAAUCAGCCUCGGCUAACUCCGUGCCAGCAGCCGCGGUAAUACGGAGGAGGCAAGCGUUAUCCGGAAUGAUUGGGCGUAAAGCGUCCGCAGGUGGCCAUGUAAGUCUGCUGUCAAAACCCAGGGCUCAACUCUGGUCAGGCAGUGGAAACUACAAAGCUAGAGUCUGGUAGGGGCAAAGGGAAUUCCCGGCGUAGCGGUGAAAUGCGUAGAUUUCGGGAAGAACAUCGGUGGCGAAAGCGCUUUGCUAGACCAGAACUGACACUCAGGGACGAAAGCUAGGGGAGCGAAUGGGAUUAGAUACCCCAGUAGUCCUAGCCGUAAACGAUGGAUACUAGGUGUUGCCUGUAUCGACCCAGGCAGUGCCGUAGCUAACGCGUUAAGUAUCCCGCCUGGGGAGUACGCACGCAAGUGUGAAACUCAAAGGAAUUGACGGGGGCCCGCACAAGCGGUGGAGUAUGUGGUUUAAUUCGAUGCAACGCGAAGAACCUUACCAGGACUUGACAUGUCGCGAAUCUCAGGAAACUUGGGAGUGC
rnacentral:rRNA from 1 species